rnacentral:rRNA from 1 species
CUGAAGGAGGAGCUUGCUUCUCUGGAUGAGUUGCGAACGGGUGAGUAACGCGUAGGUAACCUGCCUGGUAGCGGGGGAUAACUAUUGGAAACGAUAGCUAAUACCGCAUAAUAGUAGAUGUUGCAUGACAUUUGCUUAAAAGGUGCAAUUGCAUCACUACCAGAUGGACCUGCGUUGUAUUAGCUAGUUGGUGAGGUAACGGCUCACCAAGGCGACGAUACAUAGCCGACCUGAGAGGGUGAUCGGCCACACUGGGGCUGAGACACGGCCCAGACUCCUACGGGAGGCAGCAGUAGGGAAUCUUCGGCAAUGGACGGAAGUCUGACCGAGCAACGCCGCGUGAGUGAAGAAGGUUUUCGGAUCGUAAAGCUCUGUUGUAAGAGAAGAACGAGUGUGAGAGUGGAAAGUUCACACUGUGACGGUAUCUUACCAGAAAGGGACGGCUAACUACGUGCCAGCAGCCGCGGUAAUACGUAGGUCCCGAGCGUUGUCCGGAUUUAUUGGGCGUAAAGCGAGCGCAGGCGGUUAGAUAAGUCUGAAGUUAAAGGCUGUGGCUUAACCAUAGUACGCUUUGGAAACUGUUUAACUUGAGUGCAAGAGGGGAGAGUGGAAUUCCAUGUGUAGCGGUGAAAUGCGUAGAUAUAUGGAGGAACACCGGUGGCGAAAGCGGCUCUCUGGCUUGUAACUGACGCUGAGGCUCGAAAGCGUGGGGAGCAAACAGGAUUAGAUACCCUGGUAGUCCACGCCGUAAACGAUGAGUGCUAGGUGUUAGACCCUUUCCGGGGUUUAGUGCCGCAGCUAACGCAUUAAGCACUCCGCCUGGGGAGUACGACCGCAAGGUUGAAACUCAAAGGAAUUGACGGGGGCCCGCACAAGCGGUGGAGCAUGUGGUUUAAUUC